UACGUAGGGUGCAAGCGUUAUCCGGAAUUAUUGGGCGUAAAGCGCUCGUAGGCGGUUUGUCGCGUCUGCUGUGAAAACUGGGGGCUCAACCCCCAGCCUGCAGUGGGUACGGGCAGGCUAGAGUGCGGUAGGGGAGAUUGGAAUUCCUGGUGUAGAGGUGGAAUGCGCAGAGAUCUGGAGGAACACCAAUGGCGAAGGCAGAUCUCUGGGCCGUUACUGACGCUGAGGAGCGAAAGCGUGGGGAGCAAACAGG
rnacentral:rRNA from 1 species